CUCGUCUUCAGCGGCGACCAACGGUUUUCUGAAGCUCCUCAGCGACAUUUGGUCUACUUUUAAAAUCUUCUUUGUGAUUUCAGUGAAUAGGUAGGAUAAACAACGUAAUUAACAAUGCAGCACCUGGCACUCCUGAAUCCCUUCAAGUGGUUCAGUUUUGGAACAAAGAGGGCACUCACCAGACAGAUUGAGAAGCAGCAGGAGCAGCUCCAAAUGGCCCAAAAGCAACAUGUCGAUCAGGAGGAGAAGAUCAGUGAGCUCAAUAGAGCCAUCAUCCUUCAUUAUGAAAAGACGCUUCGAAAACAAACAUCUUUAUUCUGCCAGUCCUCAUGAAGUGCAACCAAACAAGAGACAGACCCUCAACACAUUAAGCCUCCACUUUGGGACAUCUGCUUUCCAGAGAGCGUCGCCAGUGGAGCCACUCGGGUUUUACUGUGUCACAUCUCAGGCUUUUACCAGACUAGAUGGCUGCUUACAUGCCACUUAGCAGCUCCAUUAUCUUCCUGAGACAAUGCUUCAUCACUGGAUUAGACUUUAAUUGGCUGAAUUAGCCGACUGCCUGCCCCCCCGGCUCUGCAGCAGCUGUGAUCCUAAACAACUCAGACGCCACCGACAGUCAGCAAGGUAUGAAUGGAAACAUGUUUUGGAAACUAGUGAACUUUAGAAUAAUAAUAUAAUCCAACACUUGCUUGUAAUUAUGCUGCUGUGGUUGCUUUUGUUGACCAAAAUGGAACAAAUCUAGAUAAGUGAGCCAAAUGACA
ensembl:lncRNA